UACAGAGGUCUCAAGCGUUGUUCGGAUUCAUUGGGCGUAAAGGGCGCGUAGGCGGCGGGGUAAGUCGGGUGUGAAAUCUCAGAGCUCAACUCUGAAACUGCACUCGAUACUGCUCUGCUAGAGGGCUGGAGAGGAGAUCGGAAUUCACGGUGUAGCAGUGAAAUGCGUAGAUAUCUGGAGGAACACCGGUGGCGAAGGCGGCAUCCUGGACCAACACUGACGCUGAGGAGCGAAAGCCAGGGGAGCAAACGGG
rnacentral:rRNA from 1 species